rnacentral:rRNA from 1 species
ACGAACGCUGGCGGCGUGCCUAAUACAUGCAAGUAGAACGCUGAAGAGAGGAGCUUGCUCUUCUUGGAUGAGUUGCGAACGGGUGAGUAACGCGUAGGUAACCUGCCUUGUAGCGGGGGAUAACUAUUGGAAACGAUAGCUAAUACCGCAUAACAAUGGAUGACACAUGUCAUUUAUUUGAAAGGGGCAAUUGUUCCACUACAAGAUGGACCUGCGUUGUAUUAGCUAGUAGGUGAGGUAAUGGCUCACCUAGGCGACGAUACAUAGCCGACCUGAGAGGGUGAUCGGCCACACUGGGACUGAGACACGGCCCAGACUCCUACGGGAGGCAGCAGUAGGGAAUCUUCGGCAAUGGGGGCAACCCUGACCGAGCAACGCCGCGUGAGUGAAGAAGGUUUUCGGAUCGUAAAGCUCUGUUGUAAGUCAAGAACGGGUGUGAGAGUGGAAAGUUCACACUGUGACGGUAGCUUACCAGAAAGGGACGGCUAACUACGUGCCAGCAGCCGCGGUAAUACGUAGGUCCCGAGCGUUGUCCGGAUUUAUUGGGCGUAAAGCGAGCGCAGGCGGUUUGAUAAGUCUGAAGUUAAAGGCUGUGGCUCAACCAUAGUUCGCUUUGGAAACUGUCAAACUUGAGUGCAGAAGGGGAGAGUGGAAUUCCAUGUGUAGCGGUGAAAUGCGUAGAUAUAUGGAGGAACACCGGUGGCGAAAACGGCUCUCUGGUCUGUAACUGACGCUGAGGCUCGAAAGCGUGGGGAGCGAACAGGAUUAGAUACCCUGGUAGUCCACGCCGUAAACGAUGAGUGCUAGGUGUUGGAUCCUUUCCGGGAUUCAGUGCCGCAGCUAACGCAUUAAGCACUCCGCCUGGGGAGUACGACCGCAAGGUUGAAACUCAAAGGAAUUGACGGGGGCCCGCACAAGCGGUGGAGCAUGUGGUUUAAUUCGAAGCAACGCGAAGAACCUUACCAGGUCUUGACAUCCCGAUGCUAUUUCUAGAGAUAGAAAGUUACUUCGGUACAUCGGUGACAGGUGGUGCAUGGUUGUCGUCAGCUCGUGUCGUGAGAUGUUGGGUUAAGUCCCGCAACGAGCGCAACCCCUAUUGUUAGUUGCCAUCAUUCAGUUGGGCACUCUAGCGAGACUGCCGGUAAUAAACCGGAGGAAGGUGGGGAUGACGUCAAAUCAUCAUGCCCCUUAUGACCUGGGCUACACACGUGCUACAAUGGUUGGUACAACGAGUUGCGAGUCGGUGACGGCGAGCUAAUCUCUUAAAGCCAAUCUCAGUUCGGAUUGUAGGCUGCAACUCGCCUACAUGAAGUCGGAAUCGCUAGUAAUCGCGGAUCAGCACGCCGCGGUGAAUACGUUCCCGGGCCUUGUACACACCGCCCGUCACACCACGAGAGUUUGUAACACCCGAAGUCGGUGAGGUAACCUUUUGGAGCCAGCCGCCUAAGGUGGGACAGAUGAUUGGGGUG